rnacentral:rRNA from 1 species
GACGAACGCUGGCGGCGUGCUUAACACAUGCAAGUCGAACGGAAAGGCCUGCUUUCCCUUGUGGAUUGCGGGUACUCGAGUGGCGAACGGGUGAGUAACACGUGAGUGAUCUGCCCCCAACUUGGGUAUAAGCCUGGGAAACUGGGUCUAAUUCCCGAUAGGACUGCAGGGUGGUGCCUGUGGUGGAAAACGAUUUUCUAGUGGUUGGGGAUGAGCUCGCGGCCUAUCAGGUUGUUGGUGGGGUAAUGGCCUACCAAGGCGGCGACGGGUAGCCGGCCUGGGAGGGUGGGCGGCCACAGUGGACCGGCGAUACGGCCCAGACUACUACGGGAGGCAGCCGGGGGGAAUAUGGAACGGGGGGCGGAGGCCUGAUGCCGCGACGCCGAGUGGGGGAUGACGGCCGUCGGGUGGUAAACUCCUUUCGGCCGCGAGGAAGCCACCUGGUUGGAAGGGUGGUGACGGUAGUGGGAGAAGAAGCACCGGCUAACUACGUG